AGGCUGGUGAGUGAGCCCUGAGGAGAGUGCGGAGCCGCCCAGCGCACACUGGAAGGAGAGGCUUCCAGUCCUCUGCUCGCAGGCUGACAGCACCUCCCCUGAGGCUGGCAGAGCUGGAGUGCUGGGUGUUUACCAAAGACAGCUAUUUGGGGAACAGGGGAGGGAAAAGCAGCAUUCUUCAGCUCCCUGCCAGCCCCUCAGCUGCCACUCCUAUGGACCCAUCCGGACCGUCCUCUCCUCAAAGACACAAGUUCAUUUUGCUUUUUCACACGGAAGAGAAUCUAAGGUGUGGAGUUCAGCCGUAGGACUGGCUGGCUCCCGGAGACACAGUGGAGCCAGCAGGACAGCACCCACUUCCAGGCAAGCUGGGGCAGCCAGAAACCGCAGGGUGGCUCCAGCUAGGAACCUGCCCCAUGAGCCUGGCCCCACACCACAAGGACCCUUUGCCCAUCUGCUCCAGCCCUCCUGUUCCACACAGGGGAAGGGUCCCCUGAGGAAACACGUCUCCUGUCUCAGAACAGCCAAGACCAACCACACUGGAGGUCCCAGCACCCAAAGCUCCACCUGGAACCCCAAUCUCAGCCCCACUGGAGGCAGGGCAGGAGCUCUGGCCAGUCUCAGGCCCAGCAUCCCAGGGGACACCCCACUUCAGUUCACCUGGAGAGGUGCUGUGUCCCCUGGCCCAGUGACUUCCUUCAGGAACUGCUCCCAGCAAGUCCAGGAAAAUCUAACAAAAAUGCAGUGCUUCCCGGGCCCCUAACCGCAAGGGGCCUCCGCUGGAAAGAGGAAGGCUCCCUUUCCCGCUUCCUCCCGCCAUUCACCAUAGAACUUCCCUGGAGCAAGCCAGGCGGCUCCUCGGGAUCAGCAGCGACGCAAGCAGAGGCCAGCGGAGCGCAGGUGAGGAUCUGCAGCUUCCACCGCACACCCAGAGGCCUGCUGUCGACUGGGGUCGGGUGGAGCAGACCAGGCAGUCGGAGGGCACCUGGCGGGGCAGGGGACGCACGCUAAGUGUCCGCGAGCUGGGCCGAACACGUGGGCUGUGGCGUGACCUGGGGAGGGCUGGCAGGCGCCCCUAGGCUUUGGUGCUCGGCGGGGUUGGGGGGUGGUAGUGCAGAGAAAAAGGUGCAGGGGAUGGCGCGCCUCGGGAAGAGAGGGACUCGGCUCGUCCUGCGACACUGUUCGCAGACCAGCCUCAGCUCCCAGCUAGGCUGAGUUCCCC